rnacentral:rRNA from 1 species
GACGAACGCUGGCGGCGUGCUUAACACAUGCAAGUCGAACGGAAAGGCCCUGCUUUUGUGGGGUGCUCGAGUGGCGAACGGGUGAGUAACACGUGAGUAACCUGCCCUUGACUUUGGGAUAACUUCAGGAAACUGGGGCUAAUACCGGAUAGGAGCUCCUGCUGCGUGGUGGGGGAUGGAAAGUUUCGGCGGUUGGGGAUGGACUCGCGGCUUCUCCGCUUGUUGGUGGGGUAGUGGCUUACCAAGGCUUUGACGGGUAGCCGGCCUGAGAGGGUUACCGGCGACAUUGGGACUGAGGGAGGGACCAGAAGGGUACGGGCGGCAGCAGUGGGGAAUAUGGCACAACGGGGGGAAGCCUGAGGCAGCAACGUCGGGAGCGGGAUGCCGGCCUUCGGGUUGUAAACCGCUUUCGCCGGUGACGAAGCGUGCGUGACGGUAAUGGGUAAAGAAGCACCGGCUAACUACGUG